CACUUGUCAGUUGUGUUGGUGGCAGUGCACGGGAAUAUUUUCGAGAUCCACCCACAAGCAAUAAAACUGUGAACUGCAAGGCUGGGUGAAGCGCUGAUCAUGCUCAACCAUAAGAAGUGUCUUGUCUUGGUAUGCCGCCUAUACACACUUGCACACGUGUGUAUUGUACACCCGCACUCAGCACAUUAAGUAAAGACAUACUGAUAAUAAUCCUUGCUUGGAAGCAAAAGAAUUUAAGGGAAAUAAAAGUGAUUUGUUGAGCUGACUUUAUAGAGCAGUACUUGCGGCGACAUUUCUGUGAUGACUAUCUUGAUCAGAUACAAUGGCGCUACAAAACAUCUCGGGCGUCACCAAACAAACAUAACAAAAUAUUAAUGCAUUGACACGAGACCUGUGAACACGGUGACCGCCCCACUUGCCCCACCUAGUCCACCAGCUCCACCUGCUCAGUGAAAGGUUUUCAAGAAGCACCAAGCACCAGCACCAAGAGACGCAGUGGCAAGCCUUCACCACAACACUCCACACUGCCUAAUCUUCGUCUAUUAAAGGCUCAGACGUGUGGAUGGAAGGAGGAGGAGGAAGAAGAAGGAGUAACAAUGGAGAAGGAUGA